AACGAACGCUGGCGGCAGGCCUAAUACAUGCAAGUCGAACGCCCCGCAAGGGGAGUGGCAGACGGGUGAGUAACACGUGGGAAUAUCCCCCUCAGUACGGAAUAGCCCAGGGAAACUUGGAGUAAUACCGUAUACGUCCGUAAGGAGAAAGAUUUAUCGCUGAGGGAUUAGCCCGCGUAGGAUUAGCUAGUUGGUGAGGUAAUGGCUCACCAAGGCGACGAUCCUUAGCUGGUUUGAGAGAAUGACCAGCCACACUGGGACUGAGACACGGCCCAGACUCCUACGGGAGGCAGCAGUAGGGAAUCUUGGACAAUGGGCGCAAGCCUGAUCCAGCCAUGCCGCGUGAGUGACGAAGGCCUUCGGGUUGUAAAGCUCUUUUACCAGGGACGAUAAUGACGGUACCUGGAGAAUAAGUCCCGGCUAACUUCGUGCCAGCCGCCGCGGUAAGAC
rnacentral:rRNA from 1 species